GAUGAACGCUGGCGGCGUGCCUAAUACAUGCAAGUCGAGCGAACAGACGAGGAGCUUGUUCCUCUGACGUUAGCGGCGGACGGGUGAGUAACACGUGGAUAACCUACCUAUAAGACUGGGAUAACUUCGGGAAACCGUAGCUAAUACCGGAUAACAUGUUGAACCGCAUGGUUUAACAGUGAAAGACGGUCUUGCUGUCACUUAUAGAUGGAUCCGCGCCGCAUUAGCUAGUUGGUAAGGUAACGGCUUACCAAGGCAACGAUGCGUAGCCGACCUGAGAGGGUGAUCGGCCACACUGGAACUGGGACACGGUCCAGACUCCUACGGGAGGCAGCAGUAGGGAAUCUUCCGCAAUGGGCGAAAGCCUGACGGAGCAACGCCGCGUGAGUGAAGAAGGUCUUCGGAUCGUAAAACUCUGUUAUUAGGGAAGAACAAAUGUGUAAGUAACUAUGCACGUCUUGACGGUACCUAAUCAGAAAGCCACGGCUAACUACGUG
rnacentral:rRNA from 1 species